rnacentral:rRNA from 1 species
GACGAACGCUGGCGGCGUGCUUAACACAUGCCAGUCGAACGGAAAGGCCCUGCUUUUGUGGGGUGCUCGAGUGGCGAACGGGUGAGUAACACGUGAGUAACCUGCCCCUGACUUUGGGAUAACUUCAGGAAACUGGGGCUAAUACCGGAUAGGAGCUCCUGCUGCAUGGUGGGGGUUGGAAAGUUUCGGCGGUUGGGGAUGGACUCGCGGCUUAUCAGCUUGUUGGUGAGGUAGUGGCUUACCAAGGCUUUGACGGGUAGCCGGCCUGAGAGGGUGACCGGCCACAUUGGGACUGAGAUACGGCCCAGACUCCUACGGGAGGCAGCAGUGGGGAAUAUUGCACAAUGGGCGGAAGCCUGAUGCAGCAACGCCGCGUGCGGGAUGACGGCCUUCGGGUUGUAAACCGCUUUCGCCUGUGACGAAGCGUGAGUGACGGUAAUGGGUAAAGAAGCACCGGCUAACUACGUG